ACUAAAGCAUGAGUGUCGCGUGUUAGGCGACUUAACCGUGCUUUAAUCAAGCUAAUCCGAGGUGGAUCCGCCACAAAUCUCCUGGCUGGCCCAAGAAAGAAGAAGGUGAAAAAUUCCCCAAAAUUCCGAUCUAACCCCCUCUUUCUUCCUAUUCGCAAAUGAGUCCCUCCACCACUCUCCAGAUAUUCUCGCAGAUCAGCCCCUCCACUCCCG
rnacentral:lncRNA from 1 species